rnacentral:rRNA from 1 species
UACGUAGGGGGCAAGCGUUGUCCGGAUUUAUUGGGCGUAAAGAGCGUGUAGGCGGCCAUACAGGUCCGUUGUGAAAACUUGAGGCUCAACCUCGAGACGUCGAUGGAAACCGUAUGGCUAGAGUCCGGAAGAGGAGAGUGGAAUUCCUGGUGUAGCGGUGAAAUGCGCAGAUAUCAGGAAGAACACCCGUGGCGAAGGCGGGUCUCUGGGCCGAUACUGACGCUGAGACGCGAAAGCGUGGGGAGCGAACAGG